GACAGAAUACAUAAUUUAAAUUAAAAUAAGGAAAUUAAAAAAUUUUAAUACGGUGGCGCCAUCUCGCGGAUGGACGCUGGAAGCUCCGACUUGUUACUAGCAUAGCAGAAUGUGCAAGGAGGUAUUCGUGACGUCACAGGGAAAGAUAGAGAGAGUAACAACAGCG